AGUGUACUCCCAUUGCCCAUGAAUUCCUUAAUCUGCCUACUAAUGGAUUUCCUUGUCCUGCACUGGCAUCAUUCCAGUGAGAAACUGUGAGGACGAGGAAAAUGACUGGAAAAGGUUUCAGAGAUGGCGUGAACUCUACGGGAAUUAUUAAGGAGGACACUAAAGAAUACCAGUAGCAUUUAGUAUGCGUACCAGAAAAGAACUCGGACACUGUAGUACAUAAGAACUGUUAAUACAUGUUUUUCUAAGUA